UACGGUCAUAUUACGUUGAAACCCCAGUCCUCGUACGAUCACCGAAGUUAAGCAACGUCGAGCUUGGUUAGUACCUAGACAGGUGAUGGCUUCGGAAUACUAGGUACUGUAGG